AACGGCCGUACCAUGCUGAAUAUACCGGUUCUCGUUAGAUCACGGAAGUUAAGCAUCAUUGGGCGCGGUCAGUACUUGGGUGGGUGACCACCUGGGAACACUGCGUGCCGUU
rnacentral:rRNA from 1 species